rnacentral:rRNA from 1 species
GCGCGAAACCUCCGCAAUGCACGAAAGUGCGACGGGGGGAUCCCAAGUGCUCAUGCACAGCAUGGGCUUUUAUCAAGUGUAAACAGCUUGAGGAAUAAGGCUGG